CUGCAGGCCAAGGUCAAGUUGAAAGUUGCCGUCUGG
ensembl:misc_RNA